GAUGAAGAACGCAGUGAAAUGCGAUAAAUAAUGUGAAUUGCAGAAUUCAGAGAAUCAUCGAGUCUUUGAACGCACAUUGCGCCCCCUGGUAUUCCGGGGGGCAUGCCUGUCCGAGCGUCAUUGCUGCCCUCAAGCACGGCUUGUGUGUUGGGCCCCCGUCCCCCCCUCCCGGGGGACGGGCCCGAAAGGCAGCGGCGGCACCGCGUCCGGUCCUCGAGCGUAUGGGGCUUUGUCACCCGCUCUGUAGGCCCGGCCGGCGCCUGCCGACCACCAUCAAUCUUUUUUCAGGUUGACCUCGGAUCAGGUAGGGAUACCCGCUGAACUUAAGCAUAUCAAUAAGCGGAGGA
rnacentral:misc_RNA from 1 species